UACGGAGGGAGCUAGCGUUGUUCGGAAUUACUGGGCGUAAAGCGUGCGCAGGCGGUUCGCCAAGUCAGGUGUGAAAUCCCCGGGCUUAACCUGGGAAUUGCGCUUGAAACUAGCGGGCUUGAGUGUGGCAGAGGGGGGUGGAAUUCCACGUGUAGCAGUGAAAUGCGUAGAGAUGUGGAGGAACACCGAUGGCGAAGGCAGCCCCCUGGGUUAACACUGACGCUCAGGCACGAAAGCGUGGGGAGCAAACAGG
rnacentral:rRNA from 1 species